rnacentral:rRNA from 1 species
GACGAACGCUGGCGGCGUGCCUAAUACAUGCAAGUCGAGCGAAGUUUUUCUGGUGCUUGCACUAGAAAAACUUAGCGGCGAACGGGUGAGUAACACGUAAAGAACCUGCCUCAUAGACUGGGACAACUAUUGGAAACGAUAGCUAAUACCGGAUAACAGUAUUUCUCGCAUGAGAGAUAUUUAAAAGUUGGUUAUGCUGACACUAUGAGAUGGCUUUGCGGUGCAUUAGCUAGUUGGUGGGGUAAAGGCCCACCAAGGCGACGAUGCAUAGCCGACCUGAGAGGGUGAUCGGCCACACUGGGACUGAGACACGGCCCAGACUCCUACGGGAGGCAGCAGUAGGGAAUCUUCCGCAAUGGGCGAAAGCCUGACGGAGCAACGCCGCGUGAGUGAAGAAGGAUUUCGGUUCGUAAAGCUCUGUUGUUAGGGAAGAAUGGAUAUGUAGUAACUAUACAUGUAAGAGACGGUACCUAACCAGAAAGCCACGGCUAACUACGUG